ensembl:miRNA MIR100 microRNA 100
CGAGAGAAGAUAUUGAGGCCUGUUGCCACAAACCCGUAGAUCCGAACUUGUGGUAUUAGUCUGCACAAGCUUGUGUCUAUAGGUAUGUGUCUUUUAGGCAAUCUCACAGACCUCGGGUUUGCUUCUAUGCCACUCAAUAUCCCUU